AGCUCCAGUAGCGUAUAUUAAAGUUGUUGCAGUUAAAAAGCUCGUAGUUGGAUUUCUGGUUUGACAAGAAUGAGGUCGCAAGUCGUUAGACACGUGACCCAGUACUCGUCUGCCAUCCUUCUAGAAAGCGCGCCUACCCUUCACUGGGCGGGGCGCGUGCUCUAGAUCUUUUACUUUGAAGAAAUUAGAGUGUUCAAAGCAGGCUUGCGCUAUGAAUACAUUAGCAUGGAAUAAUAAUUUAGGACUUCGGUUUUAUUUUGUUGGUCUAUAAAACAGAAGUAAUGAUUGAUAGGGAUAGUUGGGGGUGCUAGUAUUCCGCGGCCAGAGGUGAAAUUCUUGGAUUCGCGGAAGACUAACUUAUGCGAAAGCAUUCGCCAAGGAUGUCUUCUUUA
rnacentral:rRNA from 1 species